UGAGUAACCUGCCCUUCACUCUGGGAUAACUCCGGGAAACCGGGGCUAAUACUGGAUAUGACUCGAACAGGCAUCUGUUUCGGGUGGAAAGAUUUUAUUGGUGGAGGAUGGACUCGCGGCCUAUCAGCUCGUUGGUGAGGUAAUGGCUCACCAAGGCGACGACGGGUAGCCGGCCUGAGAGGGCGAUCGGCCACACUGGGACUGAGACACGGCCCAGACUCCGUACGGGAGCAGCA
rnacentral:rRNA from 1 species